UACGGAGGGUGCGAGCGUUGUCCGGAAUCAUUGGGCGUAAAGGGCGCGUAGGUGGCCCGGUCAGUUCGUGGUGAAAGCGCGGGGCUCAACCCUGCGUCGGCCAUGAAUACUGCCGCGGCUGGAGCACUGUAGAGGCAGGCGGAAUUCCGGGUGUAGCGGUGGAAUGCGUAGAGAUCCGGAAGAACACCGGUGGCGAAGGCGGCCUGCUGGGCAGUUUUGCUGGACACUGAGGCGCGACAGCGUGGGGAGCAAACAGGG
rnacentral:rRNA from 1 species